GAUGCGACUGAACGAAAAUCGCGGACUCUGAAGUUUAUCAAAAAACAAUCAAACGAUGUAUCGUCUAUUAUCUUAACAGUGUCGCAAUUCCCUGAAUAUAAUUCUCGCACUUCAAGUCAUCAACCAAAAUAGAAUUAGCGACUCAUAUGAUUGUUUUUAUUCACGAUAAGCCAUGUUCGACCUAAAGACGAUUCUGAGGAUGUCGAUUAACACAAAGUAACAUACUCAUUAUUUUUAUUCUUUUGUGCCACCAAUCGUGGCACGAUCUUCAAAGAAAUUAGCCGAGAGUGGACACGGGUAAGGGCCGGGGGCAGACGAAAGUGAGAAUAACAAUGUGUAUUGUCAACAAGUAACAACGAGUCAUGUCCACUACUAAAUUUGUAUUUCCUCUUACGGAACACACAGACUGACCAUGAAGAACUUUUUAGUAUUAUUUUCUAUUUAAAACUUUUAUGUAAAUCUGUGGUGGCAUCAACACUGUUGAUUAGAGUUUUUGUACAGAAAACACGUUCUUGUUGUCCACUUGAUCAACCAAAUAACAUCACAGCAGAGAAAACUGUACAAUUUGUGUGUUUAUCGGUACAUUAUGAACAUGGCACCACCCAAACCACGUCUACAUAUCACAAGAAACGACGACGUACUUCAAAAAAACUGGCAACUCUUAAAGACAAGACUUCACGGGAAUUGAAGAAAAUAAAACACAAACAGAAAAAACAAUGUCAAAGAUAUUGGUUUAAAGACGAGAAUCUACGUAAAGACACUCGCUGUAAGGAGAUGUUGAUUGGUGGAUUAGAAAUAAAAAAAUCAGCCAUGGAGGCCCAUAUGACGCAGUUGCAAUACUACGUCACAUUCUCACGAGAUCAACUAGAGAUGCAACGAGAAAGAAAUAAAAUCAUUCAAGAUAAUAUUGAUCAAUGUGGUAAACAUGUUGGUAACAAUAAUAUACCAUCUUAUCAAGAAGGCAUGGCUAGAUAAAUUUGAAUCCAUUUAUGAUAGAGCACAACCUACAUAUGUCAACUUUCUCAGACAACUUACAAGAUAUCGUGAAAAAAAAAAUUAAAUAAAGAUACCCAGCGAAAUCAAAGAUCGUAGCUUAUCGUAAAAUUUACUGCAAUAUUCCUGUGUAAGCAUUAUUUAUCAUAUCAACAUAUUUACAUAGUUAAACCUACUAUACCCUUUAAAUAAAUUUUCAACUAUGUUGUAAAUUAUAUUUUAUCGCCACUUUUUAUAUAUUAUAGAGAGCUGUCUUAGAUGGUAUUGUUCAUUAAUUUAAUACUUAAGUCUUUAUAAGCAUGUUUAUAUAAAAAUUUGCUAAUAUUGUUCAAUUUGUAGGCAUAAUGGAAUAUACUGGAUAAUUGAAUUCUUAUUCAGACUUAUGAUACAGUCGAUUUAUGUCUUGUUUACGAUAAUAUUUGUACCUGAAAACAACUUCAAAAUUAUAUUACAAGUAGGAAAUAUGACGUGUAACUUGAUUUGGGUGCUAUUUUAUGUCCAAAAGUCAUGUUUACCGGAAAUGCGACCUGGUUCGAGUGCAGUUUAACAUCAAUUUAAAUGCAGGACAACUCUAUAUUAGUGUAAGUUUGGUUUCUAUAAGACUUGUGGUGUUACUUCUAUACCUCCAGUCCAAGUAAACCAACGGUAAUAAGUCAUUGAUCAUUAUUGUCCCUAUUGGGACUUUGUUUCAUUUCUCUGAAAAUAUCCAUUUCUUUGUAAAAAAAAAAAAAAGAAAAGAAAAGUGGUUUGAGAUGUCGAGGUUUUUCUGUCAAGAUGAAUUUGUUUACCUUGGUAACGCGAGCCGAACGAACAAAACAAUUAAUUGAAAGUCUUGUUACAGACGGCUCGGGUCAGUCGGUAACUAAUGAUGAUGAUAAAAUAGUACAAGGUUAAACUUGUUGAUAUCUGUUAAAGAUCCUCGUCCUGUAUAAAGAAAUCUUUUCAUUUCAUUGACAACUCGACUGCAAGGUCUGCUACUAGGUAUAGUGUGCUAUGAGGAAAAUUUUGCCCGGUCAGCGGCGCUACGGCAUACUCUUAUUUUGAAUUCCAACUGUCGAGGGGUCUUUUAGGUGCACGAUAAUGUGUAUACGGGAUGCUGUUUUUCUUCCCAUCGGAACGACUAUACGUUGUCCUACACCACUUUCUAGGCCAACACCAGCAUCGAACACGGGCCCUCUGGGUUAGCGAGCCAACAUUUUACCAACGUUAGCCGUGGUUCCUGUCUCUAAAAUGUAGAUUGCAUCAUAUUCAUAGAACCUUUGUAUACGGACCAGGUGGGAAAUCUUUUUAUUGAUAAA